AGUGAACGCUGGCGGUAGGCCUAACACAUGCAAGUCGAACGGCAGCACAGUAAGAGCUUGCUCUUACGGGUGGCGAGUGGCGGACGGGUGAGGAAUACAUCGGAAUCUACUUUUUCGUGGGGGAUAACGUAGGGAAACUUACGCUAAUACCGCAUACGACCUACGGGUGAAAGCAGGGGAUCUUCGGACCUUGCGCGAUUGAAUGAGCCGAUGUCGGAUUAGCUAGUUGGCGGGGUAAAGGCCCACCAAGGCGACGAUCCGUAGCUGGUCUGAGAGGAUGAUCAGCCACACUGGAACUGAGACACGGUCCAGACUCCUACGGGAGGCAGCAGUGGGGAAUAUUGGACAAUGGGCGCAAGCCUGAUCCAGCCAUACCGCGUGGGUGAAGAAGGGCUUCGGGUUGUAAAGCCCUUUUGUUGGGAAAGAAAAGCAGCAGGUUAAUACCUCGCUGUUCUGACGGUACCCAAAGAAUAAGCACCGGCUAACUUCGUG
rnacentral:rRNA from 1 species